rnacentral:snoRNA from 1 species
AACCCAUGGUGAGGGCACCUUCUCAGAAGUUCUUUAUAUCUCUCCCAUGCGUCGUAGAGUGUUUCUAAAUCCACCUGCACAAAAGAAGAGAUAUCAUUGCCUAAUUU